rnacentral:tRNA from 1 species
GGGGCUAUAGCGCAGUUGGGAGCGCGUCUGACUGGCAGUCAGAAGGUCGGGGGUUCGAAUCCCCCUAGCUCCAC